UACGUAGGGUCCGAGCGUUGUCCGGAAUUAUUGGGCGUAAAGGGCUCGUAGGCGGUCUGUUGCGUCGGGAGUGAAAACUUACAGCUUAACUGUGAGCGUGCUUCCGAUACGGGCAGACUUGAGGUAUUCAGGGGAGAACGGAAUUCCUGGUGUAGCGGUGAAAUGCGCAGAUAUCAGGAGGAACACCGGUGGCGAAGGCGGCUUUCUGGACACUUACUGACGCUGAGACGCGAAAGCGUGGGGAGCAAACAGG
rnacentral:rRNA from 1 species